AGGAAAGUCUAGUCCUUUGUAAAUAAACGCAUUGCAUUGUGAAUGCGAUAACGUUAGCGCUUAGGUAAGUGAGUGGGAUAAAUACAUCUUAUUUCUCUCGCAAGAGAACGAAAGCGUUUGCUCCUCCGAAGCUUGUUCGAGGACAAGGUAUAAUAUAUUGAAUACCGCUUGGAUUUUUAUCCAGGGAAAAUUGGCGCGGGGUGAAAUACUUCACUCAACUAAAUUUAGCUUACCGCU
rnacentral:RNase_P_RNA from 1 species